rnacentral:misc_RNA from 1 species
AACUUUUAACAACGGAUCUCUUGGCUCUCGCAUCGAUGAAGAACGCAGCGAAAUGCGAUACGUAAUGUGAAUUGCAGAAUUCAAUGAAUCAUCGAAUCUUUGAACGCACCUUGCGCCCCUUGGCAUUCCGAGGGGCACACCCGUUUGAGUGUCGUGAAAUUCUCAAAACCCUUUUCUUUCUGGAAAAGGAUUUUUGGACUUGGAGGUUUCAUGCUUGCCUUCUACUUUUGAAAGCAAGCUCCUCUCAAAUAAAUUAGUGGGGUCCACUUUGCUGAUCCUCGACGUGAUAAGAUGUUUCUACGUUUUGGAUUUAGUAUUGUCUUUUGGAUGCCUGCUCCUAACUGUCUCACAGACAAUGAUGGUGCUCUGGUCACUGCCAUCUAUAUUGGCGGGAGGCUGGACCCA